GACGAACGCUGGCGGCGUGCUUAACACAUGCAAGUCGAACGGAAAGGCCCCUUUUGGUGUUCUCGAGUGGCGAACGGGUGUGUAACACGUGUGUAACCUGCCCUUGACUUCGGGAUAACUUCAGGAAACUGGGGCUUAUACCGGCUAGGAAUCCUUGCUGCAUGGUGGGGGUUGGAAAGCUUCGGCGCUUUUGGAUGGGCCUGCGGCGUAUCAGCUUGUUGGUGGGGUAGUGGCUUACCAAGGCUUUGACGGGUAGCCGGACUGAGAGGGCGACCGGCCACACUGGGACCGACGGACGGCCCAGACUCCUACGAGAGGCAGCAGGGGGGAAUAUUGCACAAGGGGCGGAGGGCGUAUGCAGCAAGGCCGCGGGCGGGAUGACGGCCUUCGGGUUGUAAACCGCUUUCAGCAGGAGCGAAGCUUGUGGUGACGUUACCUGCAGAAGAAGCACCGGCUAACUACGUG
rnacentral:rRNA from 1 species